AGCAGCCGCGGUAAUUCCAGCUCCAAUAGCGUAUAUUAAAGUUGUUGCAGUUAAAAAGCUCGUAGUUGAAUUUCGGGGUUAGUAGGUUGGUCAUGCCUCUGAUAUGUACUGGUCUCACUGAUUCCUCCUUCCUGAUGAACCUUAAUGCCAUUAAUUUGGUGUUUUGGGGAAUUUGGACUGUUACUUUGAAAAAAUUAGAGUGUUUAAAGCAAGCUAACGCUUGAAUACAUUAGCAUGGAAUAAUGAAAUAGGACGUUCGAUCCUAUUUUGUUGGUUUCUAGGAUUGACGUAAUGAUUAAUAGGGAUAGUUGGGGGCAUUAGUAUUCAAUUGUCAGAGGUGAAAUUCUUGGAUUUAUUGAAGACUAACUACUGCGAAAGCAUUUGCCAAGGAUGUCUUCAUUAAUCAAGAACGAAAGUUAGGGAUCGAAGACGAUCAGAUACCGUCGUAGUCUUAACCAUAAACUAUGCCGACUAGGGAUCGGAUGACGUUAAUUUUUAUGACUCAUUCGGCGCCUUACGG
rnacentral:rRNA from 1 species